UACAGAGGGGGCAAGCGUUGUUCGGAAUUACUGGGCGUAAAGGGCGCGUAGCGGCCGCCUAAGUCAGGUGUGAAAGCCCCGGGCUCAACCUGGGAAUUGCAUUUGAGACUGAAUAGCUAGGGUGCGGAAGAGGGAAGCGGAAUUUCCGGUGUAGCGGUGAAAUGCGUAGAUAUCGGAAGGAACACCAGUGGCGAAAGCGGCUUCCUGGUCCAGCACCGACGUCAGGCACGAAAGCGUGGGGAGCAAACAGG
rnacentral:rRNA from 1 species